rfam:Picea glauca, whole genome shotgun sequence.
GAUUCCAUGGUCUAGUGGUGAGGACAUUAGACUUUGAAUUGAAUGGCUUGAGUUCAAAUAUUGGUGGAACCC